UGUAUUGAUUAGAUUGACAUAAGUAGACAUGUAUGUUUUUUGUAUCUCACAGGGCCAUGUCUGAGGUCACAGAUCAGGAUAUUUUGUUGUUGAGGGAACUGACAGGGACACCUAUGAGCUACAUAGCAAGCAAACCCCCGAUGGAUGUAGAAUUAGGUCAGGAGAAGUACCCUCUUGGAAGUGGCUUGAGCUACCAGCUACGCCACAUCGGGAACAUGUCCUGAAGAGUUCCAUCAGAUUGGCCUCAUCAACUAGCCACUUUCUUCCUGCCUAUCCAUUGGUGAUGCAACUGCCAGAGUCAGAGACAGAGGCAGACCCAGUUCUUGGGCUGGAAGAAGUUGAGUGCAGAGGGGCACAAAGUCUUCAUCAGCAAGGUCAACCUCCAUCUCCCCAAAGCUGCGGCUAAGGUCCUGCACAGAUGUCUCUUCGUCUUCCUGGUGAUGCUGAUGGGGGCUUGACAGUGAAAACCUGAGGGCAGAGGACAGACCAAAACUCCUAGGUGGCAACUGUUCCACGCCAUGUCUCUUGGUGGGCGUGGACUGAGGGGGUGGAAAUUCAACCUCAUAGAUGUGGUGUUCCGGCUCCAACUUAUGAACAGUUGGCAAAAAAUCCUCCCAAUCAAACUCUACUGGUGAUGACUUCCCAGCAUUACCUUUCCCACCACUGCCAGGCACUUUCUAUACUGUCCUUUCUAAGGUGCAGAUGGAAACACUAUGAUGGCCUCCAAGUCUGAGGCAGAGGCGCUUGAGAAAGAGACCAGACAGCAAAGUAGCAACAACAUGGCAUCAUGUCCGCUCUACUCGCCUUACUUCAACUUCAUUCAAGAGUAUAUUCUCGAGGAGGAUAACUGGUAUGCCAUGGUGUGACCUUUUUGUUAAAUGUUAUGGUGACUAUCACCUGGAGCGAAUUAAUUUUGAGGCAGAGAUGUGGGGGG
ensembl:lncRNA